CAAAGUUCCCGGUUCAAUCACUUAUUUUGCUUGUUUCUGUCUUCAUUCAUCCUUGCAGCUCAUCCUUGUACCUCUCCACUCAGCGGGUCAUGGAGAAGUUGCAUCAUCCAUGUGCUCCAUGGUUGGAUCCAUGGCUCAGACAGUGAAAGAAAGAACAUGCUGGUUGAACCUAAGCAGGAUCCCCUUUUAUAUCCUUUUGAACACCUUUUAUUUUCCAGUUCAUAGGCUGAUUCUGGAUGCUUUAGCAGGGAAGGCAUGAAAUCUUGGGUUUUCUUCUGGCUUUGCUACCGGACCAUCGUGUGGCCUUGGGUCUGGGGAAAAAAAAGAAACAGGACUCAGGUGGAGAAUGAAUGCUUUGAAGAGGUUUCCACCCCAUAACCUAAGUCAUGGUCCCUGCCUGCACACCAGCCUUCUCCACAAUACAGAUCCUACAGCCUGCAGAUGCUUGGGCCAAAUGCUCCUACCUGUGUGCACGCCUCUUUGGGUUUGCUGUCGCAUUGACAACACUGACUAUUCAUGGAAAAGUGUGGAUUCAGACACAAGGAGGCAGAUACCAAAACCACAAUAGGGGCUGUGGGAGUCUCGUCCCUCUUUGAACAUCUGAACUGGUGGGCAGCUACAUUCCCUGGGAAGAGGAGCCCACAAGGACAACCAGAAGCCAAACUGAAGGCAGGAUUCAAAUCUUCUUCACUCCAUACAUGUUGGUCCACAUCGAGGGGAUGUCAUGGCAACAGCUCAUCCUAAUUCUGUUUGCUUUGGAAGGGAGUCUGGGGGUCUCCCAGGACCUCCUCGUUCAUUUUGUGGACCCAAAUCAUCACUUACACAGAAGUCAUCUUGCAGCUGAGUCUUGGAGCAGCAACACUGCUGGGUUCAGAGAGAUGGAAAACCAGAUGCCAACUGCUAUUACUAGGGAAGCGCGUGUUUGCAUUAAAACAUGGGUAAAAAUAAAAGAAAGAAAGAAAAAGAAAAGGGAAGAAGGAAAGAAGGAAAGAAAGAAAGAAGGAAAGAAAGAAAGAAGGAAAGAAAGAAAGAAAGAAAGAAAGAAAGAAAGAAAGAAAGAAAGAAAGAAAGAAAGAAAGAAAGAAAGAAAGAAAGAAAGAAAGAAAGAAAGAAAAGCCCUGACAUAGCAUUGCACUGAAAAGGCAGGCAAAAAGCACUAAAGUUAAUCCCCCUAAAGACAAAGAUAUUCUUUAAAACAGAAAUAUUAUUUAAAAUCUGGGCUAGAAGGUAAAACCAGAAGUAUGGAUAACAUGAUAGUCCAAAAGCAGCGUAUAGUGUGGAGAACCCAACUCUGCCGACUGGGGAGCAAAGCCCCCGCCGCCUGUGCCUCCCUCCUGGGCAGCAGCGGUGUCAGGAACCUGAUACUCAGAGUUUUAGAAACUUUAGAGGCAUGAGAAGUUGUGUACGGAGGUGUGGCCUGGUAAUUGCUCACCUUUUUUUUGUGCAAACACAAAAAUACCGCCCGGGCCAGGUUGCUUGGGAGGCACCGCUGUGUGUGGGAGCAGGUGUGGAUGCUGAGAGGGCCCCGGCGGGAAUGCGGCGUGGGAAAGGAGCCUGCUCAGAUCAGCCUGGCAGCCAAAGCACUCUCUGUUCAGAGAAAUUAUUUAGACCUCGCGCUCUUGGACGCUAGAACUUUCUUCUCGCCCCGUGUUUGUACAAUAUUCAGUACAGCGAGGUCAGGCUCCUGGCCUUUUUUUCACAUUUUAAAAAUUAUGUAAUGGUUUUGGUGAAUGUAAUGAUUUUGCUGGUUUGCUCCAGAGAGAAACUGAG
ensembl:lncRNA